AGGACGAACGCUGGCGGCGUGCUUAACACAUGCAAGUCACGGGGGUCCCGCAAGGGAUAACCGGCGAACGGGUGCGUAACACGUGAACAACCUGCCCUCGUGUGGGGGAUAGCCGGGCUAACGCCCGGGUAAUACCGCAUACGUUCCUUUGGGGGAGUCCCCGAGGGAGGAAAGCUCCGGCGCACGGGGAGGGGUUCGCGGCCUAUCAGCUAGUUGGCGGGGUAAUGGCCCACCAAGGCGACGACGGGUAGCUGGUCUGAGAGGAUGGCCAGCCACAUUGGGACUGAGAGACGGCCCAGACUCCUACGGGAGGCAGCAGUGGGGAAUCUUGCGCAAUGGCCGAAAGGCUGAACGCAGCGACGCCGCGUGUGGGAGGACGCCUUUCGGGGGUGUAAACCACUGUUGCCCGGACGAACAGCCUUUUUUCGAGAGGUCUGACGGUACCGGUGAGGAAGCACCGGCUAACUCCGCGCCAGCAGCCGC
rnacentral:rRNA from 1 species